GAUGAACGCUGGCGGCGUGCCUAAUACAUGCAAGUAGAACGCUGAAGGAGGAGCUUGCUCUUCUGGAUGAGUUGCGAACGGGUGAGUAACGCGUAGGUAACCUGCCUGGUAGCGGGGGAUAACUAUUGGAAACGAUAGCUAAUACCGCAUGACAACAGUUAUUGCAUGAUAACUGUUUAAAAGGGGCAACUGCUCCACUACCAGAUGGACCUGCGUUGUAUUAGCUAGUUGGUGAGGUAACGGCUCACCAAGGCGACGAUACAUAGCCGACCUGAGAGGGUGAUCGGCCACACUGGGACUGAGACACGGCCCAGACUCCUACGGGAGGCAGCAGUAGGGAAUCUUCGGCAAUGGACGGAAGUCUGACCGAGCAACGCCGCGUGAGUGAAGAAGGUUGUCGGAUCGUAAAGCUCUGUUGUAAGAGAAGAACGAGUGUGAGAGUGGAAAGUUCACACUGUGACGGUAGCUUACCAGAAAGGGACGGCUAACUGCGUG
rnacentral:rRNA from 1 species